GACGUAGGGUGCGAGCGUUGUCCGGAUUUAUUGGGCGUAAAGAGCUCGUAGGCGGCUCGUCGCGUCGACCGUGAAAACCCGCGGCUUAACUCCGGGCCUGCAGUGGGUACGGGCAGACUAGAGUGCGGUAGGGAGACUGGAAUUCCGUGGUGUAGCGGUGAAAUGCGCAGAUAUCAGGAGGAACACCGGAGGCGAAGGCGGGUUGCUGGGCCGACACUGACGCUGAGGCGCGAAAGCCAGGGGAGCAAACGGG
rnacentral:rRNA from 1 species